AUAAGGAGUCGGACCUGCCCAGUGAAAUAUUUUAAACGGCCGCGGUACUCUGACCGUGCAAAGGUAGCAUAAUCAUUUGCCCUAUAAUUGAGGGCUAGUAUGAAUGGUUUGACAAGAAUAAAGCUGUCUCUUUACAAUUAUAUAGAAUUUUAUUUUUAGGUGAAGAAGCCUAAAUAAAAUUAAUAGACAAGAAGACCCUAUCGAGCUUUAAAUAAAUUGAUAGACUUAUAGAAAUAUUUAUAAAACAAUAUCUAUUAAAGAUUUUGGUUGGGGCGACAAAGGAACAUAAAAAGCUUCUUUUAAAAUAAUAUAAACAAACAAGUUUUGAUCCAAUAAAUUUUGAUUAAAGAAAUUAGUUACCGUAGGGAUAACAGCAUUAUCUUUUUUGAGAGCUCAUAUCGAAAAAAAGGUUUGUGACCUCGAUGUUGGACCAGAAUAUCCUAAAGAUGCAGAAGUCUUUAAGGGUUGGUCUGUUCGACCAUUAAAAUUCUA
rnacentral:rRNA from 1 species